AGACCUUCGGGUCUAGUGGCGCACGGGUGCGUAACGCGUGGGAAUCUGCCCUUGGGUUCGGAAUAACUCGCCGAAAGGCGUGCUAAUACCGGAUGAUGUCGUAAGACCAAAGAUUUAUCGCCCAGGGAUGAGCCCGCGUAAGAUUAGCUAGUUGGUGAGGUAAAGGCUCACCAAGGCGACGAUCUUUAGCUGGUCUGAGAGGAUGAUCAGCCACACUGGGACUGAGACACGGCCCAGACUCCUACGGGAGGCAGCAGUGGGGAAUAUUGGACAAUGGGCGAAAGCCUGAUCCAGCAAUGCCGCGUGAGUGAUGAAGGCCUUAGGGUUGUAAAGCUCUUUUACCCGGGAUGAUAAUGACAGUACCGGGAGAAUAAGCUCCGGCUAACUCCGUGCCAGCAGCCGCGGUAAUACGGAGGGAGCUAGCGUUGUUCGGAAUUACUGGGCGUAAAGCGCACGUAGGCGGCUUUGUAAGUCAGAGGUGAAAGCCUGGAGCUCAACUCCAGAACUGCCUUUGAGACUGCAUCGCUUGAAUCCAGGAGAGGUGAGUGGAAUUCCGAGUGUAGAGGUGAAAUUCGUAGAUAUUCGGAAGAACACCAGUGGCGAAGGCGGCUCACUGGACUGGUAUGACGCUGA
rnacentral:rRNA from 1 species